rnacentral:rRNA from 1 species
CAGUCGCCGCGGGAAUACGAAGGGUGCAAGCGUUACUCGGAAUUACUGGGCGUAAAGCGUGCGUAGGUGGUGGUUUAAGUCCGUUGUGAAAGCCCUGGGCUCAACCUGGGAAUUGCAGUGGAUACUGGGUCACUAGAGUGUGGUAGAGGAUAGUGGAAUUUCCGGUGUAGCAGUGAAAUGCGUAGAGAUCGGAAGGAACAUCUGUGGCGAAGGCGACUAUCUGGGCCAACACUGACACUGAGGCACGAAAGCGUGGGGAGCAAACAGGAUUAGAUACCCGCGUAGUCCCUGUCUCUUAACC